CUCACUCAGGCGCAGGCGCGGGUUCGAGCGGGUGAACUACUGCACAAUUCUCGGGACGCCAAUCGGCCUGGCCCGACCCGUUCUUCCCAUACGCUACUGGCAUGAGUUUGCAUGUCGCGAACGUGGUUGAGGUUACGGAGCACUGGAUUUUUCAUAUUCAGACUUAAGCAUAACGACACGAACAAAAUUUUGUGCGACCAAGCUUUCAGCAGCAUUGCCAACUACAAGAUUCUAAGUCUUGUGGCACAUGAUGGAUGUAAUAAGUUCGAUUCUCUGUCAAAGUCAAUAUAGAACUGAACGUUCUGUUGAAAGCAAUGACAACGAAGAAACCCUGUAUAGGAUCUCUUAGUCAUCUUGAAGAGUUUGAUCAGUAACUCUAAGAAAACUAUUCCUGCUUCUUAGUAUGAGCUCCAAGUUUUGUCUUCAUUGAGUUCACGAUGUGACUGGACAGCAUUUGAUAUUUGUUAUGUUGGAGUAAAUGCAGCCAAGGGAAAAUGCUUCUUGCCUCACUUGGAUGCUCAUUUGGGUCUACACGGUAGCCCUUCGUUGCUGAUCCACAGAAUGGCACAAAUUGACCGAUCCUUGUAAUGGUUCUUUCUUUGAUGUCAUGUAUAUUUCCUGGGAUUAGGUUUACGUGAACAUACUGAAUCAAGUCCCACUUGGAGACGAUCUUUUAGCAUAACGUAGAAUUUACACAAACUAGUAAUCAAUGUAAAGUUCUGUAACGUUCUUGAGAGCUAAUCUUCGAGCAUAUUUUAGAAUUCAGAACUCUUCCAAUUAUAUGCACAUGCUCUUUGUCGCGUUACCUGCUUAUUAUCCGCCUCCUUUUGAGGAACGGUUGAGUUGCUUGUAAAAAGUUGCCGAGCAGGGCAUUGAAAACAUCAAUC